rnacentral:rRNA from 1 species
GGGGAAUCUUCCGCAAUGGACGAAAGUCUGACGGAGCAACGCCGCGUGAGUGAUGACGGCCUUCGGGUUGUAAAGCUCUGUUAAUCGGGACGAACGGUUCUUGUGCAAAUAGUGCGAGGAUUUGACGGUACCGGAAUAGAAAGCCACGGCUAACUACGUGCCAGCAGCCGCGGUAAUACGUAGGUGGCAAGCGUUGUCCGGAAUUAUUGGGCGUAAAGCGCGCGCAGGCGGAUUGGUCAGUCUGUCUUAAAAGUUCGGGGCUUAACCCCGUGAUGGGAUGGAAACUGCCAAUCUAGAGUAUCGGAGAGGAAAGUGGAAUUCCUAGUGUAGCGGUGAAAUGCGUAGAUAUUAGGAAGAACACCAGUGGCGAAGGCGACUUUCUGGACGAAAACUGACGCUGAGGCGCGAAAGCCAGGGGAGCGAACGGGAUUAGAUACCCCGGUAGUCCUGGCCGUAAACGAUGGGUACUAGGUGUAGGAGGUAUCGACCCCUUCUGUGCCGGAGUUAACGCAAUAAGUACUCCGCCUGGGGAGUACGACCGCAAGGUUG